UCACCUACGGGAGGCAGCAGUGGGGAAUAUUGGACAAUGGGGGGAACCCUGAUCCAGCGACGCCGCGUGAGUGAAGAAGUAUUUCGGUAUGUAAAGCUCUAUCAGCAGGGAAGAAAGAAAUGACGGUACCUGACUAAGAAGCCCCGGCUAACUACGUGCCAGCAGCCGCGGUAAUACGUAGGGGGCAAGCGUUAUCCGGAUUUACUGGGUGUAAAGGGAGCGUAGACGGCCAAGCAAGCCAGGGGUGAAAGCCCGGGGCCCAACCCCGGGACUGCCCUUGGAACUGCUUGGCUGGAGGGCGGGAG
rnacentral:rRNA from 1 species